CCCGCUCAGUACCUCGUGGUCCGGCGUCGGGGCUCGGCGGUGGCGGCGGGCGUGAGUUCCUCUGGUUCCUCAGCACCCUCGGGCCGGGCUGGAGCCGGCCCAGGAAGGUCGUUUCCCCUGCAGUUUACAAAUGUUCCUGUUUCUGAAAAUUUGGCCGUUGUCUACAAACUUUCUCAGAGCUGUCCACGCUGGCCCUUGAGUGUUCCAUUUUUAUCAGCCAUGGCAGGCCGGUUUUGUAGACAUGAAUAAGGAGCCCCCACACACCAGUCCUGAAGAUGCCAGGACCAGCAGAAAUGAAGGCAAACACAAACAAACAGGGGAAAAAGAGCAAAGCCAGAAACACCACCGACCCCAACAUAGAUCAACAUCUUUCUCUUCAGAUGACCGUGUAUUUCCCUCUUCUUCUUCGUCUUCUGAAAGCGAGACAGAUUCAAGUACUAACGAUUGUACCAACAGAAAAGUUAAGACAAAGAGAGGACCAAAAAGGAAUAAGAGGAGAAAAGAAAGAAAGGACAAAAGAUGAAACAUCAAGAAAAAGAAAAAGAAGGAAAAAAGAAGGAAACAACCACAUGAUAUCAUCUUUCCAAGAGGGUCUGAAACCAGGCUAAACUUCUGGAUUUCCAAAACUCAGCCUUUUGGUUUAAGGUGGCCAAUGAGGAUGCAGAGCCCAGCACUGUGAAAGCACAGAAACACUGCAGAGCUGGGGGAAGGUGUCUUUCACACCACGUCUAGACUCCUGACAACAGUCUUCACAUCCUCUGUAACCACGCAAUAAAGAGUUGGGAAGUCACAUUUUACUUGCAAAGGUCCGCAUCCAUCACGCGAGAGCCUGAAGUUCAAGCCGGUGGUGGCAAUGGCUAAUUGAAAUAGAGCACGUACUUUCUGGAGGCGAGACUGACAGCACAGACGGAGGU